CCACGCUUUUCAGGCUUCUUGAUGGCAACAUGUUUUCCAUCAAUGGCACCCACACAGUGAGGGAAGUUCCAGCGUGAUAGAAAUGAUGUGCCACUUCUUUCCAUUCCUCUGGAGUAUCUGGACACAUGAGAACUUCAUCAGAUAACUCCUCGAUUAUGGCCUGGCACACUUGCAGUACAAACAAACUGAUGGUGUUGUGGGCAACUCGAAA